GUUAGGAAUAUUGGACAAUGGGCGAAAGCCUGAUCCAGCCAUACCGCGUGGGUGAAGAAGGCCUUCGGGUUGUAAAGCCCUUUUGUUGGGAAAGAAAUCCUGUCGAUUAAUACUCGGUGGGGAUGACGGUACCCAAAGAAUAAGCACCGGCUAACUUCGUGCCAGCAGCCGCGGUAAUACGAAGGGUGCAAGCGUUACUCGGAAUUACUGGGCGUAAAGCGUGCGUAGGUGGUGGUUUAAGUCUGCUGUGAAAGCCCUGGGCUCAACCUGGGAAUUGCAGUGGAUACUGGAUGACUAGAGUGUGGUAGAGGGAUGCGGAAUUUCUGGUGUAGCAGUGAAAUGCGUAGAGAUCAGAAGGAACAUCCGUGGCGAAGGCGGCAUCCUGGGCCAACACUGACACUGAGGCACGAAAGCGUGGGGAGCAAACAGGAUUAGAAACCCGGGUAGUCC
rnacentral:rRNA from 1 species